GACGAACGCUGGCGGCGUGCCUAAUACAUGCAGGUUGAGCGCUGAAGGUUGGUACUUGUACCGACUGGAUGAGCAGCGAACGGGUGAGUAACGCGUGGGGAAUCUGCCUUUGAGCGGGGGACAACAUUUGGAAACGAAUGCUAAUACCGCAUAAAAACUUUAAACACAAGUUUUAAGUUUGAAAGAUGCAAUUGCAUCACUCAAAGAUGAUCCCGCGUUGUAUUAGCUAGUUGGUGAGGUAAAGGCUCACCAAGGCGAUGAUACAUAGCCGACCUGAGAGGGUGAUCGGCCACAUUGGGACUGAGACACGGCCCAAACUCCUACGGGAGGCAGCAGUAGGGAAUCUUCGGCAAUGGACGAAAGUCUGACCGAGCAACGCCGCGUGAGCGAAGAAGGGUGUCGGAUCGUAAAACUCUGUUGGUAGAGAAGAACGUUGGUGAGAGUGGAAAGCUCGUCAAGUGACGGUAACUACCCAGAAAGGGACGGCUAACUACGUG
rnacentral:rRNA from 1 species